rnacentral:misc_RNA from 1 species
AAACCAUCAAGCCCUGCUUGGUCUUGGACGCGGUCGAGUGACCCGUCCGUAACCCGUUGGCGGUACGGUCCAGCUUCAAGCGUAGCAAGAAUUUCGCUUCAGGAGUCCGCGGCGGCGUCUGCCAGGAAACACCACCCAAAGU